CAUGUUCCAAAACCACCUCAUUACCCUAAACCACCAAUAGUUCAUCCACCUCAUGUUCCAAAACCACCAGUUGUGAAACCACCAAUAGUUCAUCCACCUUAUGUUCCAAAACCACCGGUGCAUCCACCUUAUGUGCCAAAACCACCAGUGCAUCCACCUUAUGUCCCAAAACCACCAGCUGUGAAGCCACCUUAUGUUCCUAAACCACCAGUUGUCCCAGUAACACCACCAUAUGUUCCUAAACCACCCGUUGUGAAACCACCAAUUGUUUAUCCACCCCAUGUUCCGGUUCCUCUUCCUCCGGUAGUACCAAUAACACCACCUUAUGUACCAACACCACCAAUUGUGAAACCACCAAUUGUUUUUCCACCACAUGUUCCUGUUCCUAUUCCUCCUUUUCCUCCCGUUGUACCAAUAACACCACCAUAUGUUCCAACACCACCGAUUAUCACACCGCCAACACCAACACCACCAGUAGUUACUCCACCAACGGUACCUGUACCAAGCCCAC
rnacentral:lncRNA from 1 species